rnacentral:rRNA from 1 species
GACGAACGCUGGCGGCGUGCCUAAUACAUGCAAGUCGAGCGCAGGAAACUGACGGAACUCUUCGGAGGGAAGGCAGUGGAAUGAGCGGCGGACGGGUGAGUAACACGUAAGGAACCUGCCUCAAGGAUUGGGAUAACUCCGAGAAAUCGGAGCUAAUACCGGAUAGUUCAACGGACCGCAUGGUCCGCAGAUGAAAGGCGCUCCGGCGGCACCUUGAUAUGGCCUUGCGGUGGAUUGGCUAGUUGGUGGGGUAACGGCCCACCAAGGCGACGAUGCAUAGCCGACCUGAGAGGGUGAUCGGCCACACUGGGACUGAGACACGGCCCAGACUCCUACGGGAGGCAGCAGUAGGGAAUCUUCCACAAUGGACGAAAGUCUGAUGGAGCAACGCCGCGUGAGUGAUGAAGGUUUUCGGAUCGUAAAACUCUGUUGUAAGGGAAGAACACGUACGAGGGGAAAUGCUCGUACCUUGACGGUACCUUACGAGAAAGCCACGGCUAACUACGUGCCAGCCGCCGCCGUAAAAC